GAAGUUUUCAGAGAUGAGAAUGUGCCUUCGGGAACCGUGAGACAGGUGCUGCAUGGCUGUCGUCAGCUCGUGUUGUGAAAUGUUGGGUUAAGUCCCGCAACGAGCGCAACCCUUAUCCUUUGUUGCCAGCGGUUAGGCCGGGAACUCAAAGGAGACUGCCAGUGAUAAACUGGAGGAAGGUGGGGAUGACGUCAAGUCAUCAUGGCCCUUACGACCAGGGCUACACACGUGCUACAAUGGCGCAUACAAAGAGAAGCGACCUCGCGAGAGCAAGCGGACCUCAUAAAGUGCGUCGUAGUCCGGAUUGGAGUCUGCAACUCGACUCCAUGAAGUCGGAAUCGCUAGUAAUCGUGGAUCAGAAUGCCACGGUGAAUACGUUCCCGGGCCUUGUACACACCGCCCGUCACACCAUGGGAGUGGGUUGCAAAAGAAGUAGGUAGCUUAACCUUCGGGAGGGCGCUUACCACUUUGUGAUUCAUGACUGGGGUGAAGUCGUAACAAGGUAACCGUAGGGGAACCUGCGGUUGGA
rnacentral:rRNA from 3 species